UACGGGGGGAGCAAGCGUUGUUCGGAUUUACUGGGCGUAAAGGGCGCGUAGGCGGCGCAACAAGUCACUUGUGAAAUCUCCGGGCUUAACUCGGAACGGUCAAGUGAUACUGUUGUGCUAGAGUGCGGAAGGGGCAACUGGAAUUCUUGGUGUAGCGGUGAAAUGCGUAGAUAUCAAGAGGAACACCUGCGGCGAAGGCGGGUUGCUGGGCCGACACUGACGCUGAAGCGCGAAAGCUAGGGGAGCGAACGGG
rnacentral:rRNA from 1 species